rnacentral:rRNA from 1 species
AUUGAACGCUGGCGGCAUGCCUUACACAUGCAAGUCGAACGGCAGCACGGGAGCAAUCCUGGUGGCGAGUGGCGAACGGGUGAGUAAUGCAUCGGAACGUACCUUCAGUGGGGGAUAACGUAGCGAAAGUUACGCUAAUACCGCAUAUUCUGUGAGCAGGAAAGCAGGGGAUCGCAAGACCUUGCGCUGAUUGAGCGGCCGAUGUCAGAUUAGCUAGUUGGUGAGGUAAAGGCUCACCAAGGCGACGAUCUGUAGCGGGUCUGAGAGGAUGAUCCGCCACACUGGAACUGAGACACGGUCCAGACUCCUACGGGAGGCAGCAGUGGGGAAUUUUGGACAAUGGGGGCAACCCUGAUCCAGCCAUGCCGCGUGAGUGAAGAAGGCCUUCGGGUUGUAAAGCUCUUUCGGCCGGGAAGAAAUCGUAUGGGUUAAUACCCUGUGCGGAUGACGGUACCGGCAUAAGAAGCACCGGCUAACUACGUG